GAUAGUGCCACAGCUUUGCCAGCUGGUAAGGGACUUUUCCAUGUCUCCACCUUGGAGAGAAGAGUGUGGUGUGCUCUGAUUUGAAUGAAGAAACAGGAUCAUUGUGGUCUGUUUUCCCCAUCCUUUGAGCCAUCCCAAUGCAGGAACCAAGAGAAGAAAUCUCAUUCUUUCUCUUCUGCCCUUGAAAAAGGAAUAGGUAAAAUUGGACUGUAGUCUUAGAAAAUCAAACCUCGCCUUGUGGAUGAAUCACUGCCAUUGAUGCUGGGAGAAGGGAAUGAAUAUCCCUCAAACAAAGGAUUUUAUAGGAUGCUAAUAUACAGAGGAACGGUGGCCUUUGACUGGCAUACUCCAAGAAACACUGCUUCUGUUAUCUGUAGUCCAAGAAAUUGUGAUUUUAACGUCCAGUUUUGAACACUGAACCACAGCUCAAGUAUUUCUCUCACCAUGUACUUAGGAGGUGCUUCAGCCCCUUGUUAAAGCAGCUUUCCUCUACUUGGCAGCCAGAAAAGCCUUGAGAUACUGCUGUUGUUUUGUGCAAUCAUAAAAGUGCCUCUCAUUAGAAGAAGGGAUUCUUUUCUCCACUUGGAAGAUGAAAGUUAGACUUCUUUAUUACUUUUAAUUUGUUGAGAAAAGGCACUUAACAUCAUCUGGAUGAAACUGACCAUCUUCUGCACAAUUAAAUUGGUAGGAAAUUAAAGGUCUGAAACCAGAAGUCUAGACUGGCAAUCAAACAGUACUCCGGGAUAUGCUGAAGACGCAGGAUGGUUACAGCAGCGACUAAUAUUUGUAAAUGAAGAACUGUAGUAGAGUCUUAACUGGGGAGGCAGAGACAAAGACUGACUUGUACAAGUAACAAUAAAGGGAAAUUACCAGAUAUGACUCUUUAAACAUACCCAAAUCAAGAAAUACUGAUUUCAUUUAAUGAAAAACCUCAGUUAUACCUGCAUACCCUGCUACAGCCUGUCUUGUAAAGUUUAUGGGGAUACCUAUAUGAUAGAAUGCUGAAUCAGUUCUGAGUUGCUUUUUGUCUUGUUUUUCACAUCACUGAUUGCUCUAAUUCUUGUUCUAAAACUCGAACAAAAAAACAUUAUCAGUUAUCUUGUAGAAAAGAGCUCCUCUUGCAACGCAAAGAUGUUUUAUGAUUGUAUUGCACAUCUCCCACAUUCAUUUAGCGCAAUAAACAAUAC
rnacentral:lncRNA from 7 species